rnacentral:lncRNA from 10 species
GAGCGGCAAGGGAGCCGUUCAAUGGUUAUCAGUCUUCCAGAGCUGCUGCAAUAAGAUAACACAAACCAGGUGCUCAAAACAACAGAAAUGGAUUGUCUCGCAGUUACAGAGGCUGAACGUCUGGAAUCGAGGCAUGGGAGGGACCUGCUUUCUCUGAAGACUUGGGGAAGAAUCCUUCCUUGUCUUUUCCAGCUUUCGGUGGCCCCGGUGUUCCUUGGCUGGUGGUGGAAUUGUUCAUAUCUCUGCCUCUGUCUUCACAUGGCCUCUUCCCUGUGUCUUCUCCUCUUCUUAGGAAGACAUCCCAUUUUACAGAGGAGGAAACUGAGACUCGGAGGGGAGAAAUAACUCACCCAAGGUCACACAGCCCAGGAGUGGGGGCCAAGAUGGAAGCCAACUGUGACUGAUCCCCAAGUGCCGUG